ACACUUUUUCCUAUCGUCUUAAUUGUACCGACCUUUUAUAAAUUUACAAAUAAACGCUUGUUUAAAUAUCUGGUGUCUUUAUGUACUUUUAAUAAAAUUAAAUGUUUUAAUGUAAUAAGGUAAUUGUUUUUAAUUUUUAAUCUUAGAAAAAAAGUGCUAGUAUACCUAUCCGAUACUGUUUUAAAUCUAAUUAAAGAAAAAACAAUUUUAAUUCAAUUUUCAAAUACUAAGC